rnacentral:rRNA from 1 species
UGCAGUCGAACGGUAACAGGAAGAAGCUUGCUKYUUYGCUGACGAGUGGCGGACGGGUGAGUAAUGUCUGGGAAACUGCCUGAUGGAGGGGGAUAACUACUGGAAACGGUAGCUAAUACCGCAUAACGUCGCAAGACCAAAGAGGGGGACCUUCGGGCCUCUUGCCAUCGGAUGUGCCCAGAUGGGAUUAGCUUGUUGGUGGGGUAACGGCUCACCAAGGCGACGAUCCCUAGCUGGUCUGAGAGGAUGACCAGCCACACUGGAACUGAGACACGGUCCAGACUCCUACGGGAGGCAGCAGUGGGGAAUAUUGCACAAUGGGCGCAAGCCUGAUGCAGCCAUGCCGCGUGUAUGAAGAAGGCCUUCGGGUUGUAAAGUACUUUCAGCGGGGAGGAAGGGAGUAAAGUUAAUACCUUUGCUCAUUGACGUUACCCGCAGAAGAAGCACCGGCUAACUCCGUGCCAGCAGCCGCGGUAAUACGGAGGGUGCAAGCGUUAAUCGGAAUUACUGGGCGUAAAGCGCACGCAGGCGGUUUGUUAAGUCAGAUGUGAAAUCCCCGGGCUCAACCUGGGAACUGCAUCUGAUACUGGCAAGCUUGAGUCUCGUAGAGGGGGGUAGAAUUCCAGGUGUAGCGGUGAAAUGCGUAGAGAUCUGGAGGAAUACCGGUGGCGAAGGCGGCCCCCUGGACGAAGACUGACGCUCAGGUGCGAAAGCGUGGGGAGCAAACAGGAUUAGAUACCCUGGUAGUCCACGCCGUAAACGAUGUCGACUUGGAGGUUGUGCCCUUGAGGCGUGGCUUCCGGAGCUAACGCGUUAAGUCGACCGCCUGGGGAGUACGGCCGCAAGGUUAAAACUCAAAUGAAUUGACGGGGGCCCGCACAAGCGGUGGAGCAUGUGGUUUAAUUCGAUGCAACGCGAAGAACCUUACCUGGUCUUGACAUCCACAGAACUUUCCAGAGAUGGAUUGGUGCCUUCGGGAACUGUGAGACAGGUGCUGCAUGGCUGUCGUCAGCUCGUGUUGUGAAAUGUUGGGUUAAGUCCCGCAACGAGCGCAACCCUUAUCCUUUGUUGCCAGCGGUCCGGCCGGGAACUCAAAGGAGACUGCCAGUGAUAACCUGGAG